AUAUCGAGGUGGAGGAAUUUUUGAUGUAUAAAAUGCUGACGUCGCCCUAAUCUGGCGUCAGUCGAGUGGCAGCGCAUGUGAGGUGACACGUAGAUACUGAGAUUGGCGCAAUUGUCCUUCGUGGCCAAAUCCUGGAAAAUGAGUGUCCAUCUAGAUCAUAGCGUUCCCCCUCACUGUCUCCAAGCUCGUAUGACGACAUCUUGGAUAAUGGCAAACUCGUGUUCGUGAUGGAGCAUAAACUUAGUUGACAACCGCUGCCACUCGACCUCCGACCAGUUGACCUAGGGGCCCGUAAGCACUAUAUUCGCAUCCUUUCGUUAAGACAUUACCAUCAACAAGUAAAUGAAAAUAUUUGGGUUUAUGGGGCCAUUGACACAAACAAUCUUGUAGAUAGGAAGAAACAAUGCCUCCUAGGCUUGUUCCUUGUUUCUUUUUGCAGUUUCAUUGCAGUUCUUGGGGUUUAGGUUGUUUUGAAGCCACGUUAAACGACGCGUUUUGUGGCUAGUUGUCUAUAAACCUGAAGAUAGAAAUCUCAUGUAGCGACUACUGAACAGUUCAACCUGCUAAGCGACCACAAUUAUGACAAACAGCAAAUGAGCCGACAUCCAAGCUUCUUCGGGUUCACUACUCCAAACUUCGUCAUACCACUGCUCCAUCGCCAUUCAAGUUAGAAUCACAAUUUUAAGAGGCAUGACCUCUUCAUUGCUGCUGAACCUCCAUCUACUUCUUCGUUUACUCCUCUUCUCAAUUUAGCCCUACUAAACCAUUGAAACUGCUGCUCGUAGUCGUCGCAACCUAGUUUUUGACACAAGGUAUUUUAUUUUUGCCCUUAACUUGUUGGUAUCGCUAUGCAAAAACCUCUACCAUCCGCUCGAAAGAAGCGGGUGACGAAAUAACUGAAAGGGUGUAUAUGUUACGGUACUUAACAAUAUUUGCGUUUCUUGACGCUUUGUGUAGCCAGUUUUCAUUUGUUCUUGCCCUGUCUUUCCGAUUUCUAUCGAGUGGACUUAACAGUAUGUACUUUUAGCAUUAUUGCUACCUCCGGUGUAACUGCUGCUACAACUUCAUCAACAGCAAACUAUUUUCAACUACCUCCAUUUCUACCACUACUAUUACUAUAUUAGUUCCACUCAAAAGGUUCAAGCAACCGGUGACACAUACACCGCAUUUAUACAUAUUCUUUUCUGGGACACUAAAUAGUCUGUGUUUGAACAUAUUUCUGACCCUCUCUGCCUGUACCAUGGGAAACACUUUCUUAGCCCAGCUUCACAAAUCACCUCUAAAAUCCUAGAUUGUUCAUUAAUAUCUUGUCUUAGCUUUGAUGCUGAAAAUUUGGCACGUGGACGGACAAUAAGGUGAUUUAUGCUAUCUCUGGCUUGCUUGCACUUGAGACACGAGUGCUUCAAAAUAAUUUCAGUGCAUUUGAUUUUUAUCAGAACAAGGUUGUUGCUUUUUGUGUGGGAAUGGGUGCUAACAGAGUUCAGACGUCGAGUCAUAACCAGGCUCAAUUUAAACGUACCUGUCAAAUAUUUUGUCCACUUGCCUAGUUUCGAAGUUUGCCUUUCAAUGUUACUCUACCCUCAGCCUCCUUUCUACCAUCACAUCUUGUAUGUGUCUUUACAGCCUUGAGGUGAUCUGUUCUCAAGGCAGAAAUACCUAGCACUGCCUCCUCUGAACCUUUGAUGCUUUUGUAUUUUGUAAUAUUUUAAAGUAACUCUUCUCUACAACUCAGCAUGUUUUGAUUGGAAUGUGGGUCAUUUUUGUCGUGACAAAUCGCUCGCACACAUCGUAGAGCGUUUGUUCUAAAAAGAAGAUACAAAUCCCAUUGAAAUGCUUCAGUCUGCUCCUCAUAUUACAUAUUGUUAUAUUCAAUCAAAUGUUACUAACCGUCGAAAGUAUACCGAUUAGUUUUACUCACCGCCACUGUUGAUACCAUAGCGACCGCAACAUUACUCAGAGUUCGUGUAUGGUUCUUGUGGCUCAAUUCUUACACCACCUCCUAUUGCUACUAUCGCCAUUACUAUUACAUUUACUACUGUUACUACUACUUACUACUACUACUUACUACUUACCACUACUACUACUACCAUUAUUACAUUACUUCUACUGCACAUUAUGCUCUGACCAUCAACAACAACAUCCAAGAAGAUAUAAAGCUAUUGUUAUUAUACAGAUAAUGAUGUUGCAGUACUUGUGUAAAUGCAGCUAUAUCUGCAGAUUCCUUUGUUUGGAGUAGUGCUACCUUACUACUGACCUGUUUCAAGUUUUCGUUGGUAACAUUUAUUGCUAUUGCACCCUUCAGUCCAUGAUUGCUGGUUCUGCUACUCUUUACAUUUAUUGGAGACCGUGACACCUUCGGCCUUCGUCCACGACUAAUAUUACUAGUUAAACAUCGUCAAAUUAGUGCAUGUCCUUGGCCAUCUUAAAUACUCUCUUAGUCCUGCUGUUUUGGGAGGGUGGGAUUGCUGUUUUGUGUAUUUAAAGGCGUUAAUUGGUUCUCGUACUUGUUUUGCUCACCUUUUCUAUCAUCAAACUACUUUUGAGCACCAAUUAAAAGACCUUGUGUCAUGGACGUGCCCUUUCUUGGAUAUGGUGGUUCACUCUAUCGUACUUGACAAGAUACCUAAAAGCUCUUGGCAGAGUGGGAAGGAUAUGAAUAUGUUGGCACUGGUGGGAACAUCAAGAUAUAAAUCAUAUUUACUAGUUCAUAUUUCGGAACUAGGUUGUCACGACGAGCAUUGAGCUAUUAACCGAGCCCUUGGAAGAUAUAAGAAGCAGAGCAAGCAUAGACGAUCCGAUCCGUCUGUUUUAGGCAAGUGAAAAACUCCGACUUUGAUUGAUUUCCUUUAAUGGAAUAUCGGCUUUUGUUUCCAAUGAUCGUCUGAAGCUAUACAGUUUCAGUUGUAUAUUCCCUUGGAUUGUUCAUCCAUCCUCCAUCGUCCAAUUUUUAUUAGCUUAGCCCAAUCGUACCUUUGUUACUUGAAUGUUCUUGCACGCUUUCAAGUGAACUCUACCUUUUUCUACUUCCAAAAUCAAGUCUCAGUAGAAAUUUAUUCCCACUCCACGUAGCGAGAGUGGGCCAUCAAGUAACGAGCAAUCUUUCAGACGGAAGGAUCCGUUACAGUUUGGGGCAUAUGGCCAAAAAUUGCUUUUAUCCUUGUGAGUCUUCAUGCCCGUCUAUUCUCAAAACGUAUAGUUGUUGCCACUUUCAUCUGCUCUACCAUUACCACUACAACCAUCACCACCAAUCCAACAUGAAGAUAGAAAACUAAAAUUUCUUCUACAUCAACCAUCAAAAUUUGUAAGUCUCCCAAGUCCUGAUUCAAACUUUAAACACGCACCUCCAUACCUUUGAGCAAGAAAACCAGCUCCCUUGUCAAUGGGUAACUUCUACAUCUUCCUAAGGCCAGGGCGAAUUCACUUAACCCUUAGUGGACCUCAUGAUAUGAUGGGGUGGGUGGUGUCUAUUUUCUGGAUGCACGACGUCAAUUGGACCUUUAUAAAUUUCCGUUAAGAAAUUUGUCAGAUGAUGCCUGGCAUAUUCAAGAAGAUAGAAAACAAACUUGAUUUAUAAUGUAAAUAGUACUGAAGCUACCUCUACUACUUACCUCCAAAACUGCUACUACCAGAACCAUCACCACCUCCACAACUCUUACCAUUUCCUUCUACUACUACUACUACUACUACUGCUACUACUGCUGCCACCGAAUCACUUCCAGUUCUAUUACCAACAUUUAAUUCCAAGUCCAAAUCAAUUGUUCAGUGUGCUGAAGACUGAAAAACAGGCAACGCAAAGUUUUCUUGACUCCCGAGGAUUUCCCCUAAAUGGCAAUGAAAUUGGAUGGGAAACAAACU